AGGGAAUCUUCCACAAUGGGCGCAAGCCUGAUGGAGCAACGCCGCGUGAGUGAGGAAGGCCUUCGGGUCGUAAAGCUCUGUUGCCAGGGAAGAAUAAGGGUGAGGUGACUACUCACCCGAUGACGGUACCUGAGAAGAAAGCCCCGGCUAACUACGUGCCAGCAGCCGCGGUAAUACGUAGGGGGCGAGCGUUGUCCGGAAUUAUUGGGCGUAAAGCGCGCGCAGGCGGUUUCUUAAGUCUGGUGUUUAAGUGCGGGGCUCAACCCCGUGACGCACUGGAAACUGGGAGACUUGAGUGCAGGAGAGGAGAGCGGAAUUCCACGUGUAGCGGUGAAAUGCGUAGAGAUGUGGAGGAACACCAGUGGCGAAGGCGACUCUCUGGGCUGUAACUGACGCUGAGGCGCGAAAGCGUGGGGAGCAAAC
rnacentral:rRNA from 1 species